rnacentral:rRNA from 1 species
GACGAACGCUGGCGGCGUGCCUAAUACAUGCAAGUAGGACGCAGUUGCGAACGGGUGAGUAACGCGUAGGUAACUACCUAUUAGAGGGGGAUAACAAUUGGAAACGAUAGCUAAUACCGCAUACUAGUAGAUGGACCUGCGUUGUGUUAGCUGGUUGGUCGGGUAAUGGCCUACCUAGGCAACGAUACAUAGCCGACUUGAGAGGGGUGUCGGCCAAACGGGGACUUGAACACGGCCCAGACCCCUACGGGAGGCAGCAGUAGGGAAUCUUCGGCAAUGGGGGGAACCCUGACCGAGCACCGCCCGGUGAUUGAAGAAGGUUUUCGGAUCGUAAAGCUCUGUUGUUAAGGAAACGGUACUUACCCAGAAAGGGACGGCUAACUACGUGCCAGCAGCCGCGGUAAUUC